CUUAAAGGUUAAUAUGCCCACACCCACAGUCCCUGUCCCCCCACUUCCCUCACAUCUUGAAGGUGCUUCGAAAUUUUCUGGUGUGCGCUUCAUGGCCAGUGCCUAAUUGGGAAUGUCGCAGUACAGGAACCUUGAUGUAUAAAUUAUUCGAAAUGUUUUUCGAACAAUGAAGAAGUUUGGCAGAGAAGACUGUUUGGCAACCAAGGAGUUUGGAGCAUGACAUCCAGAGGACAAGAGGAAAUGUAAUACGAAAUGGAAGGAUUUGCAUUACAAAAGGUCUUGCUUGGAUUAAGUAGAAGGAAUUUUCAGUCUAGGUAUGAUGCGGGUUUGUGGCAGUUGUCCGUGGAAUCUACGGCGAAAAAUAGAACAGUGGGGCACUGAAGAACUGUGAAUGGAGUGUCACAAAGAAGUGUGAAAUAUGUUCAGCUUUAAAAUGGCGCUUAGGAUAAGAAAACUCGUUAAUUCACUGCUGGUUUUGUAGUUGAAAAUCUUGUCGAAGCCACUAUAGAUAACGUGGAAUCUAGUCUAGUUAAGCGAAAAUAUUAGGUCAACAGAAAAUAGACGUAGUGGAAACAGCAGAAGACUACGAGAAUGGAAGCAUGGAGUCCAGCUGUAAUAACAGUUGAAAGUGUAAGCAGCAGGUUGAAGUUUAUUGGAAACUUGGUUGACUACGAGAAUGGAAGCAUUAACUAAAUAUAGCUGAAGUCAGUUCAGUUGAAAUAAAAUUAGACUCGGAAACUUUAGUAGAGACAGAACCAGAGGAUAUAUAAGUAAAGUUCAGUUAUAAA